AGGUUCUUCAGAUAGAUCCUGAAGUGACAGAUGAAGAAAUAAAAAAGAGAUUUCGUCAGUUGUCCAUAUUGGUGCAUCCUGACAAAAACCAAGACGAUGCUGACAGAGCACAAAAGGCUUUUGAAGCUGUGGACAAAGCUUACAAGUUGCUACUGGAUCAGGAACAAAAGAAGAGGGCCCUGGAUGUAAUUCAGGCAGGAAAAGAAUACGUGGAACACACUGUGAAAGAACGAAAAAAGCAAUUAAAGAAGGAAGGAAAACCUACAAAUGUAGAGGAGGAUGAUCCGGAGCUGGUAAG